rnacentral:rRNA from 1 species
GACGAACGCUGGCGGCGUGCUUAACACAUGCAAGUCGAACGAGUGGCGAACGGGUGAGUAACGCGUAUCAACCUGCCCUUCAGAGGGGGAUAACAGUUGGAAACGGGCGCUAAUACCGCAUACUAUCAGAUGAGCCUAGGUCGGAUUAGCUGGUUGGCGGGGUAAAGGCCCACCAAGGCGACGAUCAGUAGCGGGUCUGAGAGGAUGAUCCGCCACACUGGGACUGAGACACGGCCCAGACUCCUACGGGAGGCAGCAGUGGGGAAUUUUGGACAAUGGGCGCAAGCCUGAUCCAGCCAUGCCGCGUGUCUGAAGAAGGCCUUCGGGUUGUAAAGGACUUUUGUCAGGGAAGCGGUACCUGAAGAAUAAGCACCGGCUAACUACGUGCCAGCAGCCGCGGUAAUUC